rnacentral:rRNA from 1 species
UACGAAGGGGGCGAGCGUUGCUCGGAAUUACUGGGCGUAAAGCGUGCGCAGGCGGCCGCGCAAGUCGAGUGUGAAAGCCCCGGGCUUAACUUGGGAAUUGCGCUCGAAACUACGUGGCUGGAGUGUGGCAGAGGAAGGUGGAAUUCCACGUGUAGCGGUGAAAUGCGUAGAGAUGUGGAGGAACACCAAUGGCGAAGGCAGCCUUCUGGGCCAACACUGACGCUCAUGCACGAAAGCGUGGGGAGCAAACAGG